CGCGUAGGUGGUUCGAUAAGCGAGAUGUGAAAGCCCCGGGCUUAACCUGGGAACGGCAUUUCGAACUGUCGGGCUAGAGUGUGGUAGAGGGUAGUGGAAUUUCCUGUGUAGCGGUGAAAUGCGUAGAUAUAGGAAGGAACACCAGUGGCGAAGGCGGCUACCUGGACCAACACUGACACUGAGGUGCGAAAGCGUGGGGAGCAAACA
rnacentral:rRNA from 1 species